GCGCCCAUCUCUAGUGAAUAGAAUCCUGCCUUCAUCUCUCCUUCUUCCUCAGUGUACAAUUCAAUACACAAUACACGGGGUAGAUCAAGCCACCAUAGGUAGUCCUCUUCCUUUUCAUCUGCAUAUUCACGAUAUUUGCUCACUACUGCCUGGGGUCCAAACAGUUCCAUUUCUCUUUUCACCUUAUCAAGUUUCUCUUUGAUUAAUUUCUUUCCCUUCUCAGGUAAGUUGUCCAUCAGAUCAGCAGCUUCCUUUAUUUCUCUUUCUGUAAUCCACUUGUCCAAGUCCUUUCCUACAUCCUUCAUUACAGAUUUUAUUUCCGGAUCUGUCUCUGCAUUGUAGGAUUCCAAGAACCCUCGGGACCAUUUCUUUGUAUGCUGCCAGUACUCU
rnacentral:misc_RNA from 1 species